AUGCAAUCGUUGAAUAUUCUAAAGUGGAAAUGGGAUAGCAUUUCUAUGGAUUUUAUGUCAGGUUUUCCGAAGAAUUCUAAGGGCAAUGAUUCUAUUUGGGUGAUAAUGGAUAGAUUGACUAAGUCGGCUCAUUUCUUGCCGAUGAAGAUUAAUCACUCUAUGGAGAAGUUAGUUGAGAUGUAUAUCGAAGAGAUUGUGAGAUUACAUGGUAUACUUUCGAGUAUCAUGUCAGAUAUAUAUCUGAGAUUUACGUCGAGGUUUUGGGAAAGUUUGAAUAAGUGUUUGGUACUAAGUUGA